GAGGGAGGGAGAGCUUGCUUUCUCGAGCGAGUGGCGAACGGGUGAGUAACGCGUGAGGAACCUGCCUCAAAGAGGGGGACAACAGUUGGAAACGACUGCUAAUACGGCAUAAGCCCACGGUGCCGCAUGGCACAGAGGGAAAAGGAGCAAUCCGCUUUGAGAUGGCCUCGCGUCCGAUUAGCUAGUUGGUGAGGUAACGGCCCACCAAGGCGACGAUCGGUAGCCGGACUGAGAGGUUGAACGGCCACAUUGGGACUGAGACACGGCCCAGACUCCUACGGGAGGCAGCAGUGGGGAAUAUUGCACAAUGGGGGAAACCCUGAUGCAGCGACGCCGCGUGGAGGAAGAAGGUCUUCGGAUUGUAAACUCCUGUUGUUGAGGAAGAUAAUGACGGUACUCAACAAGGUAGUGACGGCUAACUACGUGCCAGCAGCCGCGGUAAAACGUAGGUCACAAGCGUUGUCCGGAAUUACUGGGUGUAAAGGGAGCGCAGGCGGGAAGACAAGGUGGAAGUGAAAUCCAUGGGCUCAACCCAUGAACUGCUUUCAAAACUGUUUUUCUUGAGUAGUGCAGAGGUAGGCGGAAUUCCCGGUGUAGCGGUGGAAUGCGUAGAUAUCGGGAGGAACACCAGUGGCGAAGGCGGCCUACUGGGCACCAACUGACGCUGAGGCUCGAAAGUGUGGGUAGCAAACAGGAUUAGAUACCCUGGUAGUCCACACUGUAAACGAUGAUUACUAGGUGUUGGAGGAUUGACCCCUUCAGUGCCGCAGUUAACACAAUAAGUAAUCCACCUGGGGAGUACGACCGCAAGGUUGCAACUCAAAGGAAUUGACGG
rnacentral:rRNA from 1 species